UGUCCUACCACUGCUACACCACUUACAAGUGGCACAUCCUGAUCUUUCUUCCCUGGCUCCUUGUCCUCUCACACAGCUGCUUAUUACAUGUCACAGGUCUCUGUCUCAGCUUCCAAAAGUUGAGCCAGCUUCUUCCUCCAUGCUGCCUAUAUCUAGCAAGAAGGAAUCUUCUCCCGUUUCCAGUGGCUACACUGAAAGAAAACUGUCAUAUCUAGGCUCUGCCUGUCUUUAAUGCCUAGCAAGUUCCCAAGUGUGCGGAAGUAAGGCAAACAUUGGGUGCGAGCGGAGCUGCCCCCGACCGGCGUCUGAAUUAUCAGGAGCGUUGGCUUUUGAUGGAUGGUAUCCAAGAUCUCCGUGGUUGCUAUUCACCAUGGAGGACAGGAAGCUUAUUUAAGAAGAGAAACAGAAAGGACUUUAUUGCUUGUAGAAGGAGAAGCAAGACUUAUGUGCUUUGAAAAGAUCUGCUGUAGUUUGCUGCCAUUUAAUGCCAACAAGUCAUCUG
rnacentral:lncRNA from 1 species